CUAAUUGAAAACUUUUCCCAAUACCCCGCCAUGACGACUUGAAAUAUAGUCGGCAUUGGCAAUUUUUGACAGUCUCUACGGAGA
rnacentral:snRNA from 1 species